rnacentral:rRNA from 1 species
UACAGAGGGUGCAAGCGUUGUCCGGAAUUAUUGGGCGUAAAGAGCUCGUAGGCGGCCUGUUGCGUCCGCUGUGAAAGCCCGGGGCUUAACCCCGGGUCGGCAGUGGAUACGGGCAGGCUAGAGGUAGGUAGGGGAGAAUGGAAUUCCCGGUGUAGCGGUGAAAUGCGCAGAUAUCGGGAGGAACACCGGUGGCGAAGGCGGUUCUCUGGGCCUUACCUGACGCUGAGGAGCGAAAGCGUGGGGAGCGAACAGG